GGAGGAUGCAUUCUCCAAUCGUGGAUCUAAGACUGUCUCAGUUUUCCUUUCCUACUACUAUCUACUAUUUAUGCCCAAGACUUUUUUUUCUUUCUUGCUUUUCAGAAGAAAAGGUAUUCUGCAAACUUCUUGCCCAAUCUAUACUCCUCUAGUAAGCACAGUCAUAUAUAUAUACAUAAUUUUUCAAUAUUAAGAUUUUAAGGUUGGAAAACACUGGAAUAAAAAGUCCUGGCUUGUCCUUUUCUUUUUUUUUUUUCAAAAGUCAGAUAACUUAUUGUGAUUAUGGCAUAUCUUUCUUUACAAAAAUAACAGAGGAAGAUGCAUCUAUGUUUUAGAGGGACAAUGGCCAGUUUUUCAGUACAGAGAAGGCUGGCCAAGGCUGAUGAGUGAAAAACCGAGGAUCCUCUAGAUAUAAGUGGGAAGAAAGGAAAUGGGAUUAGGGAUACCGAAAGAAGAAAGUAUAUUAAUAGCUAUUUAAUAUGUUAUAUAAAAAUGGAUUCACGGCCGCCCUGUGGCCUAGUAGUUAAGUUCACGCGCUCUGCUUUGGCAGCCCGGGAUUUCACUGGUUUGGAUCCUGGGCGCAGACAGGGCAUGGCUCAUCAGGCCACGCUGAGGCGGCGUCCCACAUGCUACCACUAGAAGUACCUACAACUGAAAUAUACAGCUAUGUACUGGGAGGAUUUGGGAGAUUAAAAAAAAAGAAGAUUGGCAACAGUUGUUAGCUCAGGUGCCAAUCUUUACAAAAAAAUGGAUUCAAUUAAUUCUGACAUUAAGAAAGGAUGUUUCCCUAUUUUUUUACAGUCACACAGAGAGAUUGUUUGAAAUGAAGUUGUCACACUGUCCAGGCGUUUAGACUUUAUACAUGUAUAAAUACUAUACAUAUUAUUUAAAGAUAUAUCUAAUAUAUAAAUAAAUACAUAUUAUGUCUAUAAUUUAAACAUGUGUGUGUAUAUAUAUAUAUAUAUAUAUAUAUAUAUGUAUCAGGAUCUUCUCCAUUAGGGAAUGGGGAGUGAUGGCCUUUGUACCCUCAACGGGUUAGUCAUUGGAUGCAGACUCCACAGAUAGGCACACCCUUGGAUGAGGCUGCCCUAUGGAGCCCAGGCAAUCUCUGAAGGGGCUGACAUAUGAUGUUAUCUCCUGACUCCUUGCAACUGGGAAAGCACUUCUUGAAAUGGGGUCUGGAAGGGACGUAAUCCUGUCCUCACAGAACUUUAGUGAUAUAUUGUCAAAAUUCUAGUAUGUCCUUUCUGCUCCACCAGAAAGCAUAAAAGCCUUGUCCCAGGGAAGGUUUUGUCAAAGAGUCUCAUCUUAACACCUUUGGUUUCUCAUACUUGUAGCUCAUGUUGUGUCUUGAAUUAUUGAAACGUAUAGAUGUGUCAGAGAAUAAACACAGUGGACACCACUAUGAUAAUCACCACAGUCUCAAUUUUUAAAUUGCUUUAUUUUAUUCCCCAAAUUAAUAUAAGUUCAAUGAAGAAAAGUAGCGAUGAAACGCAAAGCAGAAAACUCGUCUCAAAAAACGUAACAAAAGUCUUUCACGUACCCAUCAAGAGGUAAAUUUUUCUAGACGAGUUUCAUGUGUUUAUCAUAUUCCUCUACUAUUCGUUAGUUAGCAAUAUAGGAAAAUAUUAUUGCAUGUUAAUAAAUAUUCUUAUUAGCAUGUUUUCAUCUUCUGUUGUGCCUAUAUUAUAAAGAAGCAAAAUAUAUUUAAUUAACUCUCUAGUAUUAGGAAUUUAUUUUAUUUUCCUGGUAUACACUUACAAAUAAAUAAUUUUGUACAUGAAUGUUUGCACGAAUGUCACAUUAUUGUUUUAUUUAUUGGGGAUGAACAUUCUGUUCUCUGGUAGGUGUUAUGCUCAGGAAUUGGUUGAUUUCAUAUUUUAGAGUAAGGCACUCAAAAUAGACUUGUGCUCAACUGAAGAAUAGUGAAUCCGGUCACCGUCAGGGAGGGAGCCAAACAGAAGUUGCGUAAAUGCCAGGCCCUUGGCUGUCUAUGGAGGACUCCAAAGGCAACAGUGUGUGAACAUUAAAGGCAAAUUGUGUGAAAAUAUGAAGAAACAAAUAAAUCUCAAACAUGAGUUUAAUAAUUAAUUCUAUGAAUUUUGGGGAGAAAAUUUGUUCAAAUUUCCUUUUUUUUUUUUUUUUUUUGCUAUCUCUUUGAGUAAAUCAAGGCAAAAAAAAAAAGCAUAGGAAAGCUUAUCCGGAGAUUUUAAGAUCUGCUAGAGUUUGAUAAGGGCAUUAGAACCAAACAGAAAUACCUCCCAUACAAAUUUAUUUGGGAAUAUAUUUGGAUGCUAACAUUUUGUGAAAGAAGUUUCACCUUAAAUGGAAAAGAAAUGCGAAGAGUGACCUGAUGGUCGAGAAGACCAUGGGUUUUAAACAUCUAAAAAUCUAAAACAAAGUUUUCAAAAAUGGAAAAACCUGAGACUAAAGCAAGCAAAAAAAUAGUCUGGGAUCAUUAGAAACAUUUAUUUUCCAAGGGGUCUUAUCUUUUAUUCUAACCCUAUGAAAAUUGUCUGUCUUUGGAGUACACAAAUAUUAUUGAAGCCGAAUGAUUGUCAGUGCGAUACAAUUGAAGUUCCCUUGUACAGUUUUAAGGAUGCGUGACUUGUUAUUUUGCACCAGUGUAAAAGAAAAAUGUUUCCAUUUUCUUGCAGUUAUACCUAAUGCAUGAUUCAAAACUCCUCUUUCUUUAUUCCUAUUAUUCGUCACAUCUGGUACGGAUUAAGCAACUUUAGGCCCCUGGUCUGUAACUCUGACUUGCUGAACAGAAAUCUGAUAGCCCAUUCUUCUCUGAACUCUACAUUUAUAGAAAGGAAAGAAAAAUACCCAACUUACCCCAACAUGUUAGCAGUCUUUACUCUUCUUUCCACUGACGUCACAUUUUUCCUGCUCUUUACUUAAAUUAGCUAUUGCAUAGUUCCACAACUGAGAUGCUCCGAGUGCUGAUGUAACAGUCCUUCCCAGGGCAGGCAUAUAAAAUCAGCAGGACAGAAACAACUUCAUAAAGAAACAUGAAGCUCAGACACGGUUAAUUACCUAUAUAUCUCAAGGAAAGCAAAAGACAUAAUGGGAUUUUUAAGUUUUUUUCAGCAAGUAUUUAUCAGUUUUACAUAAAUGGUGAUUAUAGUGAUGUGUGCAAUCUGUCCUCAUGGAAAUAAUUUGGGUUGAGAAAAAUGGAAAGGUUCUGCCUUGAUGAUGAUGAGACAUAGCUUAUAAAAUGACAUCACCGUUCAUUCAGAAAGUUGGUUGGAUACUUGAGCUUUUUCGGUAACAAAUUGCUGCUAGUUGUUAGCUAAGCCUGGUUAACAAGAGUGCUGCAAAGGAGGGGUCAAACUGCUGCACACGGGUUCAUGUUGUGGCCUCUGGCAGUGAUGUAGGAAAGUGAAGGUAGCCGAUGUGUUUAUAAACUAUGACUAAUAUCCAAUCUUUUGUGAGAAGAAAUGAUGUAUGUAAAUGAGUUUUUUAAAAUUGUUUAUUUUAUUUUAUUUUUGGUGAGGAAGAUUGGCCUUGAGCUAACAUCUGUUGCCAAUCUUCCUGUUUUUGCUUGAGGAAGAUUCUCCCUGAGCUAACAUCUGUGCCAAUCUUCCUCUACUGUGCAUGUGGGAUGCAGCCACAGCAUGGCUUGCCAAUCUGUGUGUAGGUCUAUACCCAGGAUUCAAACCCACGAACCCCAGGCUGCACAAGCCUAACCACAUCUCCACUGGGCUGGCCCCUGUAAAUGAGUUUUAAAGCUAAAAUAUUCUAUGUUAGAAUAGAUAUGUUCUAUUAUGAGAUGUAUUCUUUCUUUAGCUAAUCCAAGUUAACUAAUUUAAGCCAGAGAAAAGUUCAACACACUUCUAUCUGAAUUAAUUCAUCUUUAUUUAUCUAUAGAUUUAUACAUAUCUUUGUUCAAUAACUCUCAAAUGUCUUCUGCUGCUGCUGAUACUAGAGAUAUAGCAGUUAACAAGGUAGAUCAUAAAUCCAGCCUUUAUAGAGUUUACAUUUUGGUGGAUAUCUUGUAUCUUGAGGAUUUUUUUCCCCCUUAAAAAUUCAGUAAGAGUCA
rnacentral:lncRNA from 1 species